GGUUGUGUACGUGGGGUGGGUAAAACCUAGCCGCCACUCAUCUCCCUCCCCCGAUCCCCCUCCCCUUCCUUGACGCCGCCAGCUCCGCCCACUUCUUUGUGCGCCGAACCUCUCCUGCCCUCCCAUUCUCCAUCGCCUGGGGGCCAUUGGGACAUCGCUAUUCCCCACUGCGGGCUUGGAGCCUCGGUGGCAGCGACAAGCAGGAGCUCGGCGGCACUUGGAGGAGGUCGACAUGUUGCAGUUGCCUCUUCGCCACUGCCACGACGCCUCCUCGCUGACCACGCAUCUGCCACCAGUGGAUGGAUUGAGAGUGCCCGCGGGAUGAAGCGAAGAUUUUUGUGGCUGGGAGUUCUUGCCGUAGGAAAAACGAAGCAUGAACUUGAAGGAGCUCAAGAUUUUUCUACUACUUUGCUAAUAGAUUUGUGAGCACAUGCAGAGCAGCCAAGAUGAAACCUUCCGUUCUCAUCAGCUUCUGCAACUGAAAAUUCACCUUCUAGGCAGUCUAAUUAUUCCAAAGCAGCGGUUGUCAAUGGACUUGGCAUGCCUGGUUUUGCUUCGCGACGAGUUGCAUUCUGAAAGUGACUAGGGAGGGAGGGAGGGAGAGGGAGAGAGAUUGUUAGAGGUUGAUUCGCACACCAUCAAUCCGAUUUUUCUAUAAUUAUUUUAUGUACAUCUACUUUAUUUCUUCUUUGCUUUAGGGAACAUAGGAGGUAUUAGCCAUGUGCGUGUUAAUUGCUGUUACAAACAUGGCAAUGGAAUUCUGUAAGGUUAAAUUUGUUUCCCAAGGUGGUGUUGAUGUUUGUGCUUCUUUUUCUAUUGGUGCGAAAAAUGAUUCCUUGGGCGAUUCGAUGGAGCCACUUGUGAUCUUGUCGACCGCUACACCCGCUGGCAUCAAGAUGAGGUCAUGGUGUGGGCUUUGCGGUUUCGAGGGCGUGAAAUGGCGUGGAAUACAGAAAUGUCAGUAGCCUGUAUCCUUGAGUAAUGCUUGCUAAAGAAAAAUCUAACUGGGAUGAAAAGCCAAAAAUUUGGGGCACAAUGGGAGAUGCUAGAGGAUGAUAAGAAAGACGAGGAGAAAUCUCAGGUGUAGUUCUUUCAGAACUUUUGUUCUUUUCUUAGAGCUCCUGAGAACUAUUUGCAGACAGUGUUGUGAUAUUCCCAUAAUUGUGUGACAAUAUUGUUCCGACAGUGAAAUACCAAUAUAAAUGUCGUGCUCUAUUUGCUGGGAUAUUCUGUUAUUGUUCAUAGUAUAUUCAAGGUUAGUUUUAUGACUUUGUCAUCAUCCUAUCAUUUAUGGGUAUUUUCUUUAUGACCUCCACUGGAAUGAGUAACUUGUGGCAUUUUCCAUGCUUUUCUUCUAUAUAGUGGGAGGUUUCACCAAAGCUAACUGGUUCCAUGGAGGUUUCAUUACAGCUGAUUUUGUUUAAUUCUCCUAGAACCAUUACUAUUUUCUUAAAGAAAAGACCUAACAACAACUACUUUAAAUUGGAAAAGUUCUACGAGAAGACAUAUUCAGUUUACUAUACCACAUAACGCGAACUUUUCUGCAAUCCGCAAAGGAAUUAUUCUACCAAGGGUCAUCUUGUGUUUAGCUGAUAAUGGAAAAUUACUUGGGAUAUGAAAUGGAAGCCUCCUCUACCAAAUUCAUCAGAAUAAAAACCACGUUUGUGUUUUCUUGCAAUACUGUUGGGAAAUGGCUCACUGGUAGUGUGUGCAUCCUAUUCUAAAUCAUCAUUUUGCAUUGUUUUGCCAUCACAUUUUUAAUAUCACUGUUUAUGUACUCGUUCAUUAUUGUGGAUGGAUGCGAAGUUCCAUCUCCAUGCAGGAUCUAGAAAAUAUAUUCCUCUUCUUUAACGAAGGGUACCGACCGUUGCUUUCUAAAGCUGCAACCUGUAUUUAGAUAUGCUAAUGUGAAUCGCAGGAACAUGCAGAUGUAUUCAACUUUUAGUUUCAUUGUUGUGCUAUUAAAACUAGGCGACAUAUUUAAAUUUUCUGUUAAAUUUGUCAACAUGAGUUUUUCACUUUGAAUCCAUUUCCUCUUUGUAAUGUAACAAAACAUUCCCUUGAUAGUUGAUUGGUUGUAUUCUCCUCAUGAUAUGAUAUGGCGGGAAUGGAUGUCAUGAUAGAAUGUCAUCUUUUCUUCAUGUAGUAACUUACUUUUAGAUUCGAUAACUGCACUGUUUGGUUCGAAGGUGUUGUACAGAGAAUUUUAUGGUUGUAUUUUGAUAUUCCAUGUUGCUUUAUGGAAGUUAUCUACAUGCUUGCAAUCACAAGGUAUUUUAAUGGUAUGUUGCUUUAUGGUUGUAUUUUAUUGGUGUGCUUUUUGGCCCAUGUGUGGCUUGAUCUACCCUGUGUGGCCUGAUCUACUUUCCUGUCUGCUCUGCGUACGUUUGUCUGGAAUAGCUGAAGGAUGUUCAAGUUUGAGCAUGAUGCCGUGCUCUCACACACGUGAUGGAUGUUUAUGUUUCUCCGUGGACAUGCAUCCAAUCUGUUCUGUGCAUGUUUGCAAGUUAAGGCAAUGUUAUAUCAGUCAUAGAAUUGUGUGAAGCAACUGUCGAUGCAAUCCCCCUAUUUAGGUCCUGGACUAAUCGACUCUUAUGCAUUGUAAGUAUUGCUACUGGCCCUUUCUUCCUUCUUGACCUCCUUAUGACAAUUUUCACCUGUAAAUUCUGUUGGGCCAUGCUACUUAAUCUAACUCUUGUCAUGCUCCGAUGCUCGUACCGCUGUGUAUCUACCAUUGUGUCCUGUAUUGGUUGUCUACACAUUAGAUUCGGUAAUCUAUAAGACCUUUCACAUCACAAUCGGUGUCUAUCUAGUAUAUGAAACGUGGUUGUUCGCUAUUUGUUAUUUUCCUAGACAAACAUUCUGAUGCUUCCUGUGCAGAUGCAUUGGCUUAAAUUGACAUUGUGCAUGAACUACAUGCCUUUUCCGGACAUCUGUUUCUUGCAUACACCAAAUGGGACCGAGUUUGGUGUUCCUGUUAUUUGAAUUUCAGGGGUCCACACUUGAGAGUUUAUUUUAAUAUUUACUACAGAGGGAAUAAGUUAGUAUUAAAAAUGCCUAUUUGAAUCUUGAUAUAUUCAGACAAUUUCCAAUUGAAAAGCAAAUAAGUGAGAGAGGAUGUAUUGAUUGUUUAGUACUAAACUUAAUUGAAUUUCAAUAGUAAUUAACUUGAGAGUUUUUUUGGAUAUUUAGUGCUGAGGGAAUAAAAUGACUUCCAUAAAAUGCCUAUUUGCAUUUUGAUUCCAUCUUAAAAAAUUAUUUCUAUUUUGAUAUAUUCAGCCAAUUUUCAAUUCAAAACAAAACAGGCGAGAAAGGAUAAUAUGGGAGCUUCAACUUAAAAUAGUUGGGAAAUGAAUUGAAUAUUUGUUUAAAUAAAAUCUACACAGAAAUCAAAUUAGGAAGCUAUUGUUACUGGCAAAAUGACUUUAUAGAAUAUAUAGGAUUUUGCAAGGCUUUCAUUUGAGGCUGGAAAUACUUUCACUAAGCGCUAUAUGAGUAUUUUGAUUUAUUCACUUGUGGCAGAUCUCUCCUUCGACCUCUUUCUCUUUUGCCUGGCUAUUCUUUCCUCUCAAUGAAUCUGUUUUCUUCUCAACGAAGCUGACCACGACCUCCUGCACGUACUGCACCCCAUUGAUAAACACAUCAUUUCUAAUAUGCACUUGCUUAAUAACUUGUGCUUAACCUUUAGAUUUGUGUAUCUUUUCAUAGUGAUCCCCAUUGAGCUGGUUGAAGUCUUCAACAAGUUUCUGGGUGAGUCAAUGUUUGAAAAGCUUGACCUCCCUAAACCAGUCUACUUCACACGUAGGCUUGAGCGGGGUGGAUGUGUAUCAGUAGUUGAGUUGUACCCAACAAAAGAGGAUCUUCGCGUUUCAUCUGGACGAGCUGUGUUGUCAAGCCCAAUAUGUAAGGCCAUCGGGUUCAUGGAACGCAGAUAUCAUAAGGUGCUUGUUGAUUACAACCAUGAGCACCUGCAGGAAGAACAAAAGGCAAAUGUAAAGAUCACAAACAAGGUGAUAGAAAAAGGAGAAGAGAUUAAACGGUACAAAAAGAGCAUCAAAUAGAUGACUAGGGAAGGGACACACUAUCUAGAUGAUGUUCUUGUUACAUCAAACAAAAUCCAUGAUCUUGCUGGAGCUACCUUGGACCUUGCUGCUUCAAUGACUGUCUGUAAUCUCAGACAAACUCUUCUGGAUAUUCAUGAUGCUAAGUAUCACUAGCGCGGCAUGUCUCUCACUACAGAAGAAAGGCAUAUAUAUUAUCCAUAUGAUCCAGACUCAGAUUCAAGCUGUGGUGAGGGUUAUGCUGAUGACAUGGGUGAUGGCUACAACAACUUACGUGUGAUCACUUGUAGGCACCGUCUUGCCCUUAGGCAGCCUGUUAUGCUUUAGCUCCGCCUACUCUACUAAGUGUUGCUAUGAAUACUUUGCGUUGUACUGACUUCGAUGAAAUUUUGUGUCCUUGUGUUACGUGCAGUUGCUUAGUUAACUUUCUAUAUCAACUAUGUUAUUUGUA